AGCGAACGCUGGCGGCAGGCCUAACACAUGCAAGUCGAACGAACUCUUCGGAGUUAGUGGCGGACGGGUGAGUAACACGUGGGAACGUGCCUUUAGGUUCGGAAUAGCUCCUGGAAACGGGUGGUAAUGCCGAAUGUGCCCUUCGGGGGAAAGAUUUAUCGCCUUUAGAGCGGCCCGCGUCUGAUUAGCUAGUUGGUUGG
rnacentral:rRNA from 1 species